CUUAACUUAUGGAUUCUAUGGAUCAUGUCUCAGUUAUUUUGAGAGGGGCGCUUCCUGGUUAGCAUUAUAGGUAGUGUAGUUAACACUGAACGAAGAGGGAAGGGGAGGCAGAGCACUCCAGGCAUGGCAGGGAUAGUGUAGCUUCAGGCACAAAUCCUGCUGAAGACAAGCCAGGAAUCAGCUCAGACCCUGUGGCUUUCCUGCCACACCAGGAAGCCCAUCUUCAAGCUGUGUGUUCACAGGUGAAAGGAAAGAUUGUUAGGCUCUAAAGGAUGGACUUCUUUUCAGAGCACAUUUGGGUUCUGGCCAGCCCAAUCAAGGAAGCUCAGGAGACCCAGUGCUUACUGUGUCUCUCUGGGCUCUCACUUGCUGCUCUGAUGCACAAAAUGCUCAAUAAUUCUGAAAGAUCUGAGCUGCCCUAGGAAAGUGCACAAAGAAGGUAGAAAGUGGGUCCUAGGACCUUUGCUAGGAAGCACUGGAGAAUCCCAAUUCUGUCAAGAAAGCAAAGUGCCUGAGGAUCCAAAUGUCUUUCAUUAAAAAUGUAAAAAGUAAAACUCAAACCACUGGACAUCAGUUACUGAAGCCAACAUGCCAUCAGCCAACCACAGCCUCAGAUUGGUGCUAAGAAAGAUGGAUCCUUCAGGGUUACACAGAGCACCUGCUGACUGUUUCCAACCAAGCCUAAUACAACAGUCAGACUUGUGUUGACUGAGCCAAGAUCCCUGCCCUCUCUCUCCUGAAAGCAAGAUAAAAGGCAGGACAAUCAUCACUGCCUGUAGUUAAGGUGGAAAAGGCUUCAUCACAGUUUUUUUGGAGAGGACCACUGGAAGUCAGGCUUUGCUGUGACAGCUCUAGAGGUCACCCUGGUUCUGUGCUCAAGAUACCAAGAACCUGGAACAGUCACACCUCAGACACCACCACCACCCAUGUGAGUUCAGGGCAGAAAUGGAAUCUCUCUACAUCACUAAAGCGAGGCUGGAGAUCCCUCCCUCCCGGUCAUCCCGAGGAUUGAAGGAGAUCUUAUGUCUUGUAACUGUCCUGUCCAUGAGGAGCUUGAUAUAAACGUUAUUUACACAAAAAUGUGAAGGUGCUUACAAAGAGGAGAAUACUGUUAAAUAUGAAAAAUGUAAAAACAUCUGCAGCAAAUAUGUAUCCC
ensembl:lncRNA